AGCCUCGUAAUGUACAGCAUAUGAAAUUGCAAAUUUCAAAGAACGACCUAAUUUUCGUCGGGGCUU
rnacentral:tRNA from 1 species